GUUAUUUAUUUUGGGAUAAGCUUAAAUAAAAAGAAAUUAUAAAUUUAAAAUUUUAAUUAAUUUGUAGGAUUAAAAAUUUUUAUCAUUGAAAUUUUGUUAUAAUUUAUUAAUUUAUCUUAUAAUUUAAAUUAUUUUUAAUUUUUUUAUUUAAAUUUAUAUAAAAAUUUUUAUUAUGUAAUAAUAAUGAUUAAAUUAGUAAAUUGAAUUAUAUAAUUUUAAUUAAAAUUAAAUUUUAAUUAAGGAAUUCGACAAAUUAAAUUUUCACCAGUUUAUUAAAAACAUGUCUUUUAGAUUAUAAUUUAAAGUCAGGCCUGCCCACUGAAUUUUUAAAGGGCCGCAGUAAUUUGACUGUGCUAAGGUAGCAUAAUCAUUAGUUUUUUAAUUGAAAGCUAGAAUGAAAGGUUUAAUGAAAAAUUAAUUGUCUCAAUUAAAUUAAAUGAAUUUUAUUUUUAAGUAAAAAAGCUUAAAUUUAUUUAAAAGACGAGAAGACCCUAUAGAGUUUAACAUAAAUUUAAUUAAAAUUUUUUUAGAAUUUAUAAAUUUUAAUUAAGUUUAUAUUUAAUUGGGGUGAUUAAAAAAUUAAUUGAACUUUUUUAUUUUAAAACAUCUAUAAAUGAUUGUUUGAUCCAAUAGUUUUGAUUAUAAGAGUAAAUUACCUUAGGGAUAACAGCGUAAUUUUAUUAAAAAGUUCUUAUUAAUAAUAAAGUUUGCGACCUCGAUGUUGGAUUAAAAUUUAAUUUUGGUGCAGAAGCUAAAAAUUUAAGUCUGUUCGACUUUUAAAAUUUUACAUGAUCUGAGUUUAAACCGGUGUGAGCCAGGUUGGUUUCUAUCUUUAAAUUUUAUAAUAUUUUAGUACGAAAGGAUUAAAUAUUAAAUUAAAAAUUUAAUAAUUGAAUAAAAAU
rnacentral:rRNA from 1 species